rnacentral:rRNA from 1 species
UACGAAGGGGGCUAGCGUUGCUCGGAAUCACUGGGCGUAAAGCGCACGUAGGCGGCUUGUUAAGUCAGGGGUGAAAUCCUGGAGCUCAACUCCAGAACUGCCUUUGAUACUGGCAAGCUUGGAGUCCGGGAGAGGUGAGUGGAACUGCGAGUGUAGAGGUGAAAUUCGUAGAUAUUCGGAAGAACACCAGUGGCGAAGGCGGCUCACUGGUCCGGUACUGACGCUGAGGUGCGAAAGCGUGGGGAGCGAACAGG